CCCGCUAUGGGCGCAGCCUGAUCCAGCAAUGCCGCGUGAGUGAAGAAGGCCUUCGGGUUGUAAAGCUCUUUUGUCAGGGAAGAAACGGCUGCGGCUAAUAUCCGCGGCUAAUGACGGUACCUGAAGAAUAAGCACCGGCUAACUACGUGCCAGCAGCCGCGGUAAUACGUAGGGUGCAAGCGUUAAUCGGAAUUACUGGGCGUAAAGCGUGCGCAGGCGGUUUUGUAAGUCUGACGUGAAAGCCCCGGGCUCAACCUGGGAAUUGCGUUGGAGACUGCAAGGCUUGAAUCUGGCAGAGGGGGGUAGAAUUCCACGUGUAGCAGUGAAAUGCGUAGAGAUGUGGAGGAACACCGAUGGCGAAGGCAGCCCCCUGGGUCAAGAUUGACGCUCAUGCACGAAAGCGUGGGGAGCAAACAGGAUUAGAUACCCUGGUAGUCCACGCCCUAAACGAUGUCUACUAGUUGUCGGGUCUUAAUUGACUUGGUAACGCAGCUAACGCGUGAAGUAGACCGCCUGGGGAGUACGGUCGCAAGAUUAAAACUCAAAUGAAAUUGACGG
rnacentral:rRNA from 1 species